rnacentral:rRNA from 1 species
CCUACGGGUGACUGCAGUGAGGAAUAUUGGUCAAUGGACGCAAGUCUGAACCAGCCAUGCCGCGUGCAGGAAGACGGCCCUAUGAGUUGUAAACUGCUUUUGUACGAGGGUAAACUCAGAUACGCGUAUCUUUCUGAAAGUAUCGUACGAAUAAGGAUCGGCUAACUCCGGGCCAGCAGCCGCGGUAAUACGGAGGAUUCAAGCGUUAUCCGGAUUUAUUGGGUUUAAAGGGUGCGUAGGCGGUCGGAUAAGUUAGGGGUGAAAUCCCGAGGCUCAACUUCGGAAUUGCCGUUGAUACUGGCAGGCUAGAGAGUAGUAGCGGUAGGCGGAAUGCAUGGUGUAGCGGUGAAAUGCUUAGAGAU